rnacentral:rRNA from 1 species
ACGAACGCUGGCGGCAUGCCUAACACAUGCCAGUCGAACGAGACCUUCGGGUCUAGUGGCGCACGGGUGCGUAACGCGUGGGAACCUGCCCUUAGGUUCGGAAUAACUCCCCGAAAGGGGUGCUAAUACCGGAUAAUGUCUUCGGACCAAAGAUUUAUCGCCUUUGGAUGGGCCCGCGUUGGAUUAGCUAGUUGGUAGGGUAAAAGCCUACCAAGGCGACGAUCCAUAGCUGGUCUGAGAGGAUGAUCAGCCACACUGGGACUGAGACACGGCCCAGACUCCUACGGGAGGCAGCAGUGGGGAAUAUUGGACAAUGGGCGAAAGCCUGAUCCAGCAAGGCCGCGUGAGUGAUGAAGGCCUUAGGGUUGUAAAGCUCUUUUACCCGGGAUGAUAAUGACAGUACCGGGAGAAUAAGCUCCGGCUAACUCCGU